GGCGGAUGUACCCAAGU
rnacentral:tRNA from 3 species